rnacentral:rRNA from 1 species
AACGCGAAGAACCUUACCCAGGCUCGAAGUGCAGGAGAUAGUGUCAGAAACGGCAUUUUUCGUAAGAACUGCUGCAUAGGUGCUGCAUGGCUGUCGUCAGCUCGUGCCGUGAGGUGUUGGGUUAAGUCCCGCAACGAGCGCAACCCUUGUCAUUAGUUGCCAACACUUAAGGUGGGGACUCUAAUGAGACUGCCUAGGUUAACUAGGAGGAAGGCGAGGAUGACGUCAAGUCCGCAUGGCCUUUAUGUCUGGGGCAACACACGUGCUACAAUGGUCGAUACAGAAGGUAGCAAAGCCGCAAGGUGGAGCAAAUCCGUAAAGCCGAUCUCAGUUCGGAUUGUAGUCUGCAACUCGACUACAUGAAGUUGGAAUUGCUAGUAAUGACGCGUCAGCUACAGCGUCGUGAAUACGUUCCCGGGCCUUGUACACACCGGAGUA